rnacentral:rRNA from 1 species
UACGGGGGGGGCAAGCGUUGUUCGGAAUUACUGGGCGUAAAGGGCUCGUAGGCGGCCAACUAAGUCCGACGUGAAAUCCCAAGGCUUAACCUUGGAACUGCGUCGGAUACUGGAUGGCUUGAAUUCGGGUGAGGGAUGCAGAAUUCCAGGUGUAGCGGUGAAAUGCGUAGAUAUCUGGAGGAAUACCGGUGGCGAAGGCGGCAUCCUGGACCGACAUUGACGCUGAUGAGCGAAAGCUAGGGGAGCAAACGGG